AGUAAUUAAAUAAUUAAUUUUAUUAUUUUUAUUUUAAAAUAAAAAUAUAUAGUUUUAGUAUAAUUUAUAGAAAUAAAUUAGUAUAAUUAUAGUUUUUGUACUGUGAAGGAUUUUUAUAAAUUAUUUAAAAGAAACUAUUAUUAGUGUACCUUUUGUAUCAGGGUUUAUUUAAUAUAAAUUAAUUAUUUUAAUAUUCCCGAAAUUUAAAGAUAUAUAUUUAUAUUAUUUUAUAAGUAUCAAAUUAUUUAUUAAUAUAAAUAUAGUUGUUAUAUACUUUUCAAUUUAAAUAUAUCUGGUUACUUUUAAAUUAAAUUUAAUUUAAAAUUUAUAUGAAAAAUUUAUUUUUAUUAAUCAUUUAUAUAAAUUAAAUUACUUAGGGGAUAAGCUCUAAGUAUUUUUUAUAAUUUUUAUUUUGUUAAUAACUUAUUUAGGAAUAAUAUUUUCCUUUUUUAUAUUUUUAUAAAAAUAGUUAUUUUACAAUUGAUUUAGUAUAAUUUAAAAAUUUAAAUAGUUAUUCUAAUUAAUGUUAAAUUAGAAUUAAUAAUUAUAGAAUUAGUAAUUUUAUUAUUUAAAUUUAAGAAUUCGGCAAAAUUAAUUCACGAAUGUUUAAUAAAAACAUUUCUAUUUGAAUUUAAUAUUUAGUAUAACCUGCUCAAUGAUUAUUUUAAAUAGCCGCGGUUAUUUAUCGUGCAAAGGUAGCAUAAUAAUUUGUCCUUUAAUUGAGGUCUAGAAUGAAAGGUUGAACGAUGAAUUAACUUUUUUAAUUUAAGUAUUAUAAAUUUUAUUUUUUAGUCAAAAAGCUAAAAUGUUUUUAUGGGACGAUAAGACCCUAUAGAAUUUUAUUAUUAUAUUUAUCAUAUUUAUUUAGUAGUUAUUUAUAAAUGAUAAUUUAAAUAAUUUAGUUGGGGUGACUGUUAUAUUUAAUUAACUAUAAUUAGUGAAAAUCAUUAAUUAAUGAUUUAAUGAUCCUAAAUUUUGGAUUAUAAGAAUAAAUUACCUUAGGGAUAACAGCGUAAUUUUCUUGGUAAGUUCUUAUUAAUAAGAAAGAUUGCGACCUCGAUGUUGGAUUAAAAUUAAAUUGUGGUGUAGUAGUUACAACUUUAAGUCUGUUCGACUUUUAAAAUUUUACAUGAUCUGAGUUAAGACCGGCGUGAGCCAGGUUGGUUUCUAUCUAUAAAUAGUUAUAUUAUUUUAGUACGAAAGGACCAAAUAAUACAAAUAAUUUGU
rnacentral:rRNA from 1 species